UACGUAGGGUCCGAGCGUUGUCCGGAAUUAUUGGGCGUAAAGGGCUCGUAGGCGGUUCGUCGCGUCGGGAGUGAAAACUCGGAGCUCAACUCCGAGCCUGCUUCCGAUACGGGCAGACUAGAGGUAGGUAGGGGAGAAUGGAAUUCCCGGUGUAGCGGUGAAAUGCGCAGAUAUCGGGAGGAACACCGGUGGCGAAGGCGGGACUCUGGGCCGAUACUGACGCUGAGGAGCGAAAGCGUGGGGAGCAAACAGGG
rnacentral:rRNA from 1 species